UGAUGUUUGGAAAACAGUUUAUUGUUUGCCAGGAGGUUCAGGGCCUCCCACAGUGCUGCCACCACAAUGGGAGGGUUCAGUGUGAUGCUAAGAGGGUCUA